rnacentral:tRNA from 1 species
AGGAUUAUAUUUAAUUAUAAUAUUUGGAUUGCAACCAAAAGGUAUUCCUAAGAAUUAAUCUUU